CACUCACUGACGACACAUACACACUCACUGACGACACAUACACACUCACUGACUGACACAUACACACUCACUGACGACACAUACACACUCACUGACUGACACAUACACACUCACUGACUGACACAUACACACUCACUGACCAACACACACAUUCACUCACAGACACACACACAUUCACUUACAGACACACACAAUUACACACUUA